GGAGAGGUGGCCGAGUGGUUGAAGGCACCAGUCUUGAAAACUGGCAAGCGCGCGAGCGUUUCGAGGGUUCGAAUCCCUCUCUCUCCUCCA
rnacentral:tRNA from 1 species